rnacentral:lncRNA from 1 species
UUAAUAUUCAGCUCUGUAAGUGCCUGUGCUGUCUACUUUUAUGUCAACUUAACACAAGCUUCUGAGAGGAGGAGCCUCAACUGAGAAAAUGCCUCUCUAAGAUCAGGCUGCAGACCGAGGGCCGGACCCCCGGCCAGGGACUGCUGCAAGCGCUCCUUCACAGCUACCAGCUUGAGCUCCAGGUCGAUCCUCUGCUCUUCCUUGGCACGGCAUUGAGCUUCCAGAGUGGCCACGGCCUCUUCCAAGGCCUUCAACUUUGCUCCUGAGUCCAGAGACACGGACGAGAAAGUCUGCGGGGCUGCAGGCCCCACCCCCUCACCCCUUGCUGGAGUGUCCAGAAGGACUGGGUGAAGGCUUGUGCUGCAGCCUCUAUGUCACCACAAAGAGGAAGAGAAUGAAGUCACGUUUCCCUGUA